GGGUUGUGAGGUUAAGCGACUAAGCGUACACGGUGGAUGCCCUGGCAGUCAGAGGCGAUGAAGGACGUGCUAAUCUGCGAAAAGCGUCGGUAAGGUGAUAUGAACCGUUAUAACCGGCGAUGUCCGAAUGGGGAAACCCAGUGUGAUUCGUCACACUAUCGUUAACUGAAUACAUAGGUUAACGAGGCGAACCGGGGGAACUGAAACAUCUAAGUACCCCGAGGAAAAGAAAUCAACCGAGAUUCCCCAGUAGCGGCGAGCGAACGGGGAGCAGCCCAGAGUCUGAAUCAGCUUGUGUGUUAGUGGAACGGUCUGGAAAGUCCGACGGUACAGGGUGAUAGUCCCGUACACCAAAAUGCACAGGCUGUGAACUCGAAGAGUAGGGCGGGACACGUGGUAUCCUGUCUGAAUAUGGGGGGACCAUCCUCCAAGGCUAAAUACUCCUGACUGACCGAUAGUGAACCAGUACCGUGAGGGAAAGGCGAAAAGAACCCCGGCGAGGGGAGUGAAAAAGAACCUGAAACCGUGUACGUACAAGCAGUGGGAGCACCUUCGGGUGUGACUGCGUACCUUUUGUAUAAUGGGUCAGCGACUUAUAUUCUGUAGCAAGGUUAACCGUAUAGGGGAGCCGCAGGGAAACCGAGUCUUAACUGGGCGUUAAGUUGCAGGGUAUAGACCCGAAACCCGGUGAUCUAGCCAUGGGCAGGUUGAAGGUUGGGUAACACUAACUGGAGGACCGAACCGACUAAUGUUGAAAAAUUAGCGGAUGACUUGUGGCUGGGGGUGAAAGGCCAAUCAAACCGGGAGAUAGCUGGUUCUCCCCGAAAGCUAUUUAGGUAGCGCCUCGUGAACUCAUCUUCGGGGUAGAGCACUGUUUCGGCUAGGGGUCAUCCCGACUUACCAACCCGAUGCAAACUACGAAUACCGAAGAAUGUUAUCACGGGAGACACACGGCGGGUGCUAACGUCCGUCGUGAAGAGGGAAACAACCCAGACCGCCAGCUAAGGUCCCAAAGUCAUGGUUAAGUGGGAAACGAUGUGGGAAGGCACAGACAGCCAGGAUGUUGGCUUAGAAGCAGCCAUCAUUUAAAGAAAGCGUAAUAGCUCACUGGUCGAGUCGGCCUGCGCGGAAGAUGUAACGGGGCUAAACCAUGCACCGAAGCUGCGGCAGCGACACUAUGUGUUGUUGGGUAGGGGAGCGUUCUGUAAGCCUGCGAAGGUGUGCUGUGAGGCAUGCUGGAGGUAUCAGAAGUGCGAAUGCUGACAUAAGUAACGAUAAAGCGGGUGAAAAGCCCGCUCGCCGGAAGACCAAGGGUUCCUGUCCAACGUUAAUCGGGGCAGGGUGAGUCGACCCCUAAGGCGAGGCCGAAAGGCGUAGUCGAUGGGAAACAGGUUAAUAUUCCUGUACUUGGUGUUACUGCGAAGGGGGGACGGAGAAGGCUAUGUUAGCCGGGCGACGGUUGUCCCGGUUUAAGCAUGUAGGCUGAUUGUCCAGGCAAAUCCGGAUAAUCAAGGCUGAGGUGUGAUGACGAGGCACUACGGUGCUGAAGUAACAAAUGCCCUGCUUCCAGGAAAAGCCUCUAAGCAUCAGGUAACAUUAAAUCGUACCCCAAACCGACACAGGUGGUCAGGUAGAGAAUACCAAGGCGCUUGAGAGAACUCGGGUGAAGGAACUAGGCAAAAUGGUGCCGUAACUUCGGGAGAAGGCACGCUGGUGUGUAGGUGAAGUCCCUGCGGAUGGAGCUGAGACCAGUCGAAGAUACCAGCUGGCUGCAACUGUUUAUUAAAAACACAGCACUGUGCAAACACGAAAGUGGACGUAUACGGUGUGACGCCUGCCCGGUGCCGGAAGGUUAAUUGAUGGGGUUAUCCGUAAGGAGAAGCUCUUGAUCGAAGCCCCGGUAAACGGCGGCCGUAACUAUAACGGUCCUAAGGUAGCGAAAUUCCUUGUCGGGUAAGUUCCGACCUGCACGAAUGGCGUAAUGAUGGCCAGGCUGUCUCCACCCGAGACUCAGUGAAAUUGAACUCGCUGUGAAGAUGCAGUGUACCCGCGGCAAGACGGAAAGACCCCGUGAACCUUUACUAUAGCUUGACACUGAACAUUGAGCCUUGAUGUGUAGGAUAGGUGGGAGGCUUUGAAGCGUGGACGCCAGUCUGCGUGGAGCCAACCUUGAAAUACCACCCUUUAAUGUUUGAUGUUCUAACGUUGGCCCCUGACCGGGGUUGCGGACAGUGUCUGGUGGGUAGUUUGACUGGGGCGGUCUCCUCCCAAAGCGUAACGGAGGAGCACGAAGGUUAGCUAAUCCUGGUCGGACAUCAGGAGGUUAGUGCAAUGGCAUAAGCUAGCUUGACUGCGAGCGUGACGGCGCGAGCAGGUGCGAAAGCAGGUCAUAGUGAUCCGGUGGUUCUGAAUGGAAGGGCCAUCGCUCAACGGAUAAAAGGUACUCCGGGGAUAACAGGCUGAUACCGCCCAAGAGUUCAUAUCGACGGCGGUGUUUGGCACCUCGAUGUCGGCUCAUCACAUCCUGGGGCUGAAGUAGGUCCCAAGGGUAUGGCUGUUCGCCAUUUAAAGUGGUACGCGAGCUGGGUUUAGAACGUCGUGAGACAGUUCGGUCCCUAUCUGCCGUGGGCGCUGGAGAAUUGAGGGGGGCUGCUCCUAGUACGAGAGGACCGGAGUGGACGCAUCACUGGUGUUCGGGUUGUCAUGCCAAUGGCACUGCCCGGUAGCUAAAUGCGGAAGAGAUAAGUGCUGAAAGCAUCUAAGCACGAAACUUGCCCCGAGAUGAGUUCUCCCUGAGACUUUAAGUCUCCUGAAGGAACGUUAAAGACGAUGACGUUGAUAGGCCGGGUGUGUAAGCGCAGCGAUGCGUUGAGCUAACCGGUACUAAUGAACCGUGAGGCUUAACCUUACAACGCCGAAG
rnacentral:rRNA from 1 species